rnacentral:rRNA from 1 species
CAGGCCUAACACAUGCAAGUCGAACGGUCUCUUCGGAGGCAGUGGCGGACGGGUGAGUAACGCGUGGGAACGUGCCCUUUGGUACGGAACAACUGAGGGAAACUUCAGCUAAUACCGUAUGUGCCCUUCGGGGGAAAGAUUUAUCGCCAUUGGAGCGGCCCGCGUUGGAUUAGGUAGUUGGUGAGGUAAAGGCUCACCAAGCCUACGAUCCAUAGCUGGUCUGAGAGGAUGAUCAGCCACACUGGGACUGAGACACGGCCCAGACUCCUACGGGAGGCAGCAGUAGGGAAUCUUGCGCAAUGGGCGAAAGCCUGACGCAGCCAUGCCGCGUGAAUGAUGAAGGUCUUAGGAUUGUAAAAUUCUUUCACCGGGGACGAUAAUGACGGUACCCGGAGAAGAAGCCCCGGCUAACUUCGUGCCAGCAGCCGCGGUAAU